rnacentral:tRNA from 1 species
GUCAGGUUGGCCGAGCGGUCUAAGGCGCCAGACUCAAGUUCUGGUCCACGAAUGUGGGCGUGGGUUCAAAUCCCACAUCUAACA